rnacentral:sRNA from 1 species
AGUUGGAUUUUUUUAAUCACCAUUUGUUAUUUUUGGCUUCUGAUUUUCAUUAGCUUCAAGAGAUUGGCAUUUUAUAGCUAUAUUUC